rnacentral:rRNA from 1 species
GACAGAGGUGCCGAGCGUUAGGCGGAAUCACUGGGCUUAAAGCGUGUGUAGGCGGAUCUGUAAGUACCUUGUGAAAUCCCACGGCUCAACCGUGGAACUGCUUGGUAUACUGCGGGUCUUGAGCCACCUAGGGGCAAGUGGAACAAACGGUGGAGCGGUGAAAUGCGUAGAUAUCGUUUUGGAACGCCAAUGGUGAGAACAACUUGCUGGGGGUGUGCUGACGCUGAGACACGAAAGCCAGGGGAGCAAACGGGG